UCCUGAUCCACAGAUCCUGUAUUGGGAAGCUAUUGGAGAGUUUUGAACAGCUGAUGUUAUUUUCCAAAACAAUGACUCUGCUGGCUACAUGGACACAGGCUUGCAGGGAGGGAGGCAGGGGCAGAAAUCCCAUUGGCAAACAAAGUGGCAUCCGAAAUGUCACACACACACACACACACACACACACACACACACACACCCCAAAUCCUGUUUCCUCCACAUACCUUAAAAUGGAAGCAGUGCCAUUGGAAGAAGCACUGCUCUCAGGCUCAGGAGAAGACCCAGUCUUUCAAAGACUCCUUUGGGAAUGUCCAGACUUCCCACUUCAGACAGUGGCCCUUCUGCCAUCCACAGCUGGACGUCCUUGAUUCCCCAUUAGUCCUCACUCCAUACAGCCAGCGCACCGGCUCUGCCAUGUGUCCUAGUCAACCCACCUCUCUCCACCCCUUCUCAGCCCUGGCCCCCCUUCCCUCUCACCACAGCUCCAGCAUCCAUCUCCUUAGGAGGCUUCUUGCUUCCACUCCUGCCCCUGCAAUCCUGUGUCCACACAGCCACGGAGUCACCAAGAUGUGAAGAGGCAAAGUCACUGGCUCCACACCCACAGCUGGCCAGCAGGGAACAGUCGACCCCCGACACGAAGCGGCUUUUCUCACAGCUACUCGAGCGCGAAUCGCAGGGUGGCACUCAGGGGUAUUCCCCAGGAAUAAAACAUAACUAUCUUAAAGUUUAUGAAGUAAUUGGCACCUUAAGAUGGAAUAUUUUUGGU
rnacentral:lncRNA from 10 species